rnacentral:rRNA from 1 species
AGUGAACGCUGGCGGUAGGCCUAACACAUGCAAGUCGAACGGCAGCACAGUAAGAGCUUGCUCUUACGGGUGGCGAGUGGCGGACGGGUGAGGAAUACAUCGGAAUCUACUUUUUCGUGGGGGAUAACGUAGGGAAACUUACGCUAAUACCGCAUACGACCUACGGGUGAAAGCAGGGGACCUUCGGACCUUGCGCGAUUGAAUGAGCCGAUGUCGGAUUAGCUAGUUGGCGGGGUAAAGGCCCACCAAGGCGACGAUCCGUAGCUGGUCUGAGAGGAUGAUCAGCCACACUGGAACUGAGACACGGUCCAGACUCCUACGGGAGGCAGCAGUGGGGAAUAUUGGACAAUGGGCGCAAGCCUGAUCCAGCCAUACCGCGUGGGUGAAGAAGGCCUUCAGGUUGUAAAGCCCUUUUGUUGGGAAAGAAAAGCAGCAGGUUAAUACCCCGCUGUUCUGACGGUACCCAAAGAAUAAGCACCGGCUAACUUCGUG